rnacentral:rRNA from 1 species
UACGUAGGGUGCUAGCGUUGUUCGGAAUCAUUGGGCGUAAAGCGCGUGUAGGUGGUCAUCUAAGUCGAGUGUGAAAGCCCCGGGCUCAACCUGGGAAGUGCAUCCGAAACUAGUUGACUAGAAGACAUUAGAGGAAGGUGGAAUUCCAAGUGUAGAGGUGAAAUUCGUAGAUAUUUGGAGGAAUACCGGCGGCGAAGGCGGCCUUCUGGGAUGUUCUUGACACUGAGACGCGAAAGCGUGGGUAGCAAACAGG